ACUUAACACAUGCUGCAUACAAAAAAAACAUGAACAUACAAUAUAUAAAGAACAUAGACAGACAUAUUGCGUGGAGUUGCAUGUAACAGCUUUCCCCUAUCAGACAGCAUAUGUUGUACAUCACUACAACAUUUAUUCACACGUCACACUAACAAACCACGUGAAAGAAAUGAACUUUUUCUAAAAGAGUUGACAGAUAGUGAAAGACAGAUAACUUUUCAGAUUUUGAUCGUGUAGUUUGUAUCUCAAAAACACACGGAUUCUGAGUGUUAAACAGCAAUAGGCUCUUCUAUCGAUUUAAGCGAUCACGCAGCUCAAAAUUUGAAAUCUUGUUAUUGAUCGUCGAAACCUGUUAUUAUUACUCAAUUGUUGCUAGGCAUUACAACAGAGUAAAAUUUAAGCAAUUGUCAUUCAAAUUGCAAUUAAGGAAAAACCUACCCGAAACCUAUCACUAGUUAUUUGAUAUAUCGAAAUUGUACAUAGAAAUUUGUGGAAAAUAGACCAUCAAGCGGAGGGGGAAGGCUAAGAUAUUAAAGUUUUGAAGUCUGCCCACUGAACCGUUCCCGUCUUGGAUCAUUGAUCUCGUUGAAUAGAAUUCCAAGCAACUCUUGUAAAAUAUUUAUUUUACAUCAUUGACGUGCUUCAACUCACCAAAUGUUAUGAGAUGGCGCAUUUUAAGUCAAUUUAAAGAAAUAUUAACUAGCAACAAACAUAACAAAACUGCAUUGGCAAGAUGUGGAAAGAUCUCACGACUCCGAGAAAUUAUACGUUAAGUCCAAAGAUUGAACAUGUUGAGGACUCGUCGCUUCGUUAACGUUUAUGUAUGACAAGGAACAGUACACUCGAACUGACUUCUAAAUGACAUCACACAAUUUCGUUUUUUGUCGUCUUCACAAGGUGUAAUGAUUAGCGCGGUGCUCGGGUGAGGAAAAUAUGAAAUUGGUAUGGUUUAACAAAACGUCAAAUACGUGGCGCGAGCCUAACCAAGGCAUGGACAGAGAUACAAUGAAAUAUUUGCUGUAUGCGAUGACGGAAGUUGGCCGUCGGCUUUCCAAGUGUAUGACUUAGAUUGAAGAAAGCGGUAUACAUGGAAAAGCGGUAAACCUUUUAUAACGCAAUCAUAACGCACGAGGUUCACCAGAUUAGUCUUGAAGUAUUUUAUCCAAGUUAAUUUGCAACUUAUGCUAGAACACGGAACACUUUAAUAUGCUGUACACGAAGUUGUGGA